AUUGAACGCUGGCGGCAUGCCUUACACAUGCAAGUCGAACGGCAGCACGGGGCAACCUGGUGGCGAGUGGCGAACGGGUGAGUAAUGCAUCGGAACGUACCUUUCAGUGGGGGAUAACGUAGCGAAAGUUACGCUAAUACCGCAUAUUCUGUGAGCAGGAAAGCAGGGGAUCGCAAGACCUUGCGCUGAUUGAGCGGCCGAUGUCAGAUUAGUGAGUUGGUGAGGUAAAGGCCCACCAAGGCGACGAUCUGUAGCGGGUCUGAGAGGAUGAUCCGCCACACUGGAACUGAGACACGGUCCAGACUCCUACGGGAGGCAGCAGUGGGGAAUUUUGGACAAUGGGGGCAACCCUGAUCCAGCCAUGCCGCGUGAGUGAAGAAGGCCUUCGGGUUGUAAAGCUCUUUCGGCCGGGAAGAAAUCGCACGGGCUAAUACCCUGUGUGGAUGACGGUACCGGAAUAAGAAGCACCGGCUAACUACGUGCCAGCCGCCGCGGUAAUAC
rnacentral:rRNA from 1 species